rnacentral:rRNA from 1 species
UGGGGGAUUUUGCGCAAUGGGGGAAACCCUGACGCAGCGACGCCGUGUGAGUGAUGAAGGCUUUCGGGUCGUAAAGCUCUGUCAGGUGGGAAGAAAUAUCUCGAUACGAAUAGUAUCGGGGUUUGACGGUACCACCAAAGGAAGCACCGGCUAACUCCGUGCCAGCAGCCGCGGUAAUACGGAGGGUGCAAGCGUUGUUCGGAAUUAUUGGGCGUAAAGAGCGUGUAGGCGGUUGAACAAGUCAGAUGUGAAAUCCCUCGGCUCAACCGAGGAAGUGCAUUUGAAACUGUUCAGCUUGAGUACGGGAGAGGAGAGCGGAAUUCCCGGUGUAGAGGUGAAAUUCGUAGAUAUCGGGAGGAACACCGGUGGCGAAGGCGGUUCUCUGGCCCGAUACUGACGCUGAGACGCGAAAGCGUGGGGAGCAAACA